rnacentral:rRNA from 1 species
UACGGGGGGGGCAAGCGUUGUUCGGAAUUACUGGGCGUAAAGGGCGCGUAGGCGGCCUUCUAAGUCGGACGUGAAAUCCCUCGGCUUAACCUGGGAACUGCAUCCGAUACUGGAUGGCUUGAAUUCGGGAGAGGGAUGCAGAAUUCCAGGUGUAGCGGUGAAAUGCGUAGAUAUCUGGAGGAAUACCGGUGGCGAAGGCGGCAUCCUGGACCGAGAUUGACGCUGAUGAGCGAAAGCUAGGGGAGCAAACGGG